GCCCGUUUAGCUCAGGGGUAGAGCGUUGCACUUGUAAGAAUGUCUUACAAAAUAUGCAAAGGCCAAUAGUUCAAAUCUGUUAAUGGGCA